GGCGCCGGGAGGCAGAGCUGACUCCCGCGGGACUCUACCGGCCUGCGAGCGUUCGUCACGUGCUCGGUGGCUGAGGGGCCGUCCCGGCCGGGCGGGCUUCACCGCGUGGGCGCGGCAGUCGCCACUCACCGAGGUUGACGACCUUGAGCGCCGUGAAGAAGCGGUUCUGCCGGGCCAGGUCCUGCCAGGGAGCCUUGGAGCAGUGGCGUGGGUUCUCACUAUGUUGCUUAAGCUGGUCCAGAACUCAAGCCAGUCUCUCACUUCAGCCUCUUGAGUCGUUGGGAUUACAGAAGCCACCAUGUCCAACUAGACAAGAUCUUGUUGCCCAGGCUGGUCUCAAACUCCUGCGUUCAAAUGAUACUCUCGCCUUGGCCUCCAAAAGUGUUGGGAUUGCAGACCUGAGCUACUAUGCCUGGCUGAAUUCUAUUUCUAUUGGAUUGGUUGUAAAGAAGUGCAUUGUAGCCUGCAAAGGAGCAGGGCCAGUGGGGUGGAGAGGGCAGAAGUGCUACAGAGGCCCCUGCUCUCCACUGCCCUGACUGCUACUGUGCUGGAUGCCGUGUGAACCACAGCUGCAUCUGGAGGCCUUGGGCAGCACCUAACAGGAAGCCAGAGUAGGUCCUCUGAAGGUGUUUGUUCAAUGAACUUGUCAUCCUCCUCAACUUAAAGCCUUUAGCUUUUCCAAUUUGGAGGCACAAAUAAGUGAGAACUUGGGGAUCCACUGAGGUCUGAGGCACGGUGGUACCAGAGGAGAUGAAGGGGCUUUCAGCAUGAAGCUGGUCCCCUGUCGACAGCACGCUGAUUUUCCCGUUGGGCUCUAUCAGCAUGUCCACUGUGAGGCUUGCCUCCACUUUUUCCAGUGCCCACAUUUACCUCUCAGAGUGCAUCAACAAUCGUCAGGACGUUGGAAGGUUCCAAGACAUCUGCAGAAAGCAUGGGGCUCCACCAGCCUGGCCGAUGCACCCCAGAGAUUCUUGUCUACCAAAUGCUUUCUGACAUCCCUACAUGAAGGACUGGAGAGUGAAAAGGGCAAGACAAUGACCUGAAAAAGUAAGCAAGACUGUCAGUGUUGAAAGGAGCCAUGUGGACUAUCUAGGACAAAUGCCUCAUGUCACAAAAGAGGGAACGAGGGCUUCUCCAGUCACACUGGGAGGCCGCAGGUGCUCUCUGGCUGCCUCUGACUCCUGGACCAUGCUUGUGAAAAUACCAGGACGGUAAAUUAGUGAAUUCCAAAGUCAGGAUUUUUGUUGGAUCUGGCACAGUCACAGGAAAGUCUGAGUUUUCUCAAGGGCAUCCCUGUCUCACCGAGGGGCACCAAGGACAGACGACCAGAAGCAAAUGGCGCAGUCACCGUCAGAGGAGAGUAAAACUCAUUCUGAAACGGUUCCAAAUGCCCAUGCCUGCUCUGUGGUUUUCAGCAAAGCGGACCUUUCCAAAAGACCUCCAACAGGGACUUCCUGGAUGUGAGAACACUAACCAAUUCUCGUUCCUCUCAUCUUUUGCUUUAUUCCUUCCUUCCAUGCUGUUAUUGCGAAAAACUGGUAGUUAAAUUCAAUUGAUUCAAAAUAUUCGGGAUCCAUAUGGCCGCCAACCCUGGAGCUGAAGCGGCGAUAGCGCCUCACUGCUGUUUUCAAGCAUUUGCCUCUCCUCCAGUCCCCAGAUGGUGGGAGUAACAUUUAAACCUCCUUUUCUCUGCCUUGUACAAUAGACCUUGGCACCAUUUCAACUGUUUACUCCGGUAAUUAACAGCUCUGAUACCACAACAAUUACAACUCCUACACUCUCACCACAAUAAUGCUAUGAAUUAGUGAGAGCUAAUGGCUGGAAGGUAGAGUGUUUCCAGACUGUGGGAUCUGUGCAUUUUUAGAAUAAAAUAAAAGGUACAAACAGCACGCUUGCAGUAGACAAUGAUUACCUAGUAAUUAGUUUACACAAAGCUUCCUAUUUAAUGGCAAAACGCUGUAAUUAACGUGUGACAGAAAAUCAAAGGGUACUUUGUAAGCAUAUUAAAAAUUAACACUGCAGGCCCAUAGCUUUAUGUACUGAUUAGAAGCAUAUUAAAUCAAUAGGACACACAAACCAACAGCUUGGGUAGCUGAUUAUUAUAGGUCCUCAGAAGGGGUACCCUGGCUUUCAUUUCACUUGGGGAGGCAAUUUUCCUUCUCCUGUCAUCUUCCUCAGGCACAGAGAAACACCUCAAACUCAACCCUGGCAGCUUCAUGAAAAUAACCACUGAACUGGAAGAAAACAUUCUAAGUCAUUCUCAGAGAUGAAGACAAAUAUGUAAAUGAUUAAGACUUUCCAAUGAUUGUGGUGACGUGCUGCUACACUAAUUAGAAAAUACACCAACUGGAACCAGAAAAUAAAGCCACUGGGUUGCAAUCUUCCGGUCAGAAUAAUCUCUACUUUGUCAAGCCUCUUUAUUCAACUCAUAGAAAGUUCAAAUAAAUGGAACUGUUUUAUAUUUCUAAAUGAUAAGAAAGCAGGCUGCUAUGAAGACUUAUUCUUUCCAAGGCACUGUCUGGGUAAAGCAUAGGCUGGGAACAACUGGAUCAACCAACAUUCUGUAUCUUCAACAGCCACAACCCCAUAUAAUGAUGGCUGAUGGACAUAGACAGCAAUAUCCUGGAAGCCUACCAGAGCCUAAAGAACCUUCUGAAUCACCAAAGAAAGAUUAAGUUGUAUGUACUUGUUCAAUGUUACCUGUAUUUUGUUAUAAUACAAUUUUAUGGUAAUAAUAACAACAAUAAUAAUAGGUAGCAUUUCUUAAAGUCUUAUUAUGUGCUAAGCACACUGCUAGCCAAUUCAUAGAAUUAUCUCAUUUACUUGUCACCACUUCCCCAUGAGACAGGUACUAAUCUCUCUUUACAGAUAGAGAAAGGGAGACUUGGAGAGCUGAAGUAAUUUGCCUAUAGUUAUCCCCCAGGGAGCAUGGGAGUCUAACCUAGGUGUCCCUGGCUAUGGAACCCCAGGAAGCCAAACUACCUCUUAGUUACCCUGAAUGACUAGCCUGUUCCAACACUCAUUCUGCUUAAAAGGCAGUUUACUAUGUCAACCUGGAAUAGGAGACUAAAAAAAUUAAAACAAAAACAAAAUAUUUGGUUGCUUAUUUUUUUAAAAAACAGGGUGUUUCUGCUUUUAGAGAUAGGAGUCUUGUUCUGUCACCCAGGCUGGAGAGUGGUGGUGCAGUCAUGACUCAUUGCAGCCUCAAACUCCUGGGCUCGAGUGAUCCUCUUUCUUCAGGCUCCUAAGUAGCUGGAACUACAGGCACACACCUAAUUUUUAAAUUUUUUGUAGAGAUAGGGUCUCACUAUAUUGCCCAGGCUGGUCUUGAACUCCUGGCCUCAAGCCAACUCCCACCUCAGCCUUCCAAAGUGUUGGGAUUACAAAAUAUUACAGGAGUGAUCGACUGCACUGGGCUAAAAACAAGGGUUUUAAAUGCUUACCAUAUUUUUAAUGCUACAUCUGAUUGUGAAGGUGGGCUACUCAAAGCUUUUUGGGAAUUUACAGGCUCACUAAAAUGAUCACGAUAGUGUAUUAAAUUGAGAAAGGCAUUGAAAAUCUGUCAUUCCCAUGAACAACCAAAGGGUGAUGUCUAAAAUUCUCUCUCAUCACCCAUGCACAUAACCAGGUAUAUGAGGCAGUUGGGUUGCAAGAGCUGAAUCCUAGAAACUCCUAGGCAGGGCUCCUCCUCUCCAGCUCUGAGGUGUGUGUAUUGAUGGCCCCCUACACCUCCCAGUUUGCUGCCUUGUGGGAAAAGGAGACCAGCUCUUCUGUUAUCUAGGAAAGGGAAGAAAUUUGAGAGCAGUGGCCUCUGUGUUCCAGGAAUAUUUGCGUUUCCCACAAAUCUCUGGAAAGCAGAAAGCUUGCCACAAGGGCAGCACACGGUAUGAGUCACAAAGGCAAGGACCUGAGGGAGAACACUUCCCAGGACUUUCAAAUAAGGUCUUUCCUAAAUGUACUUGGCUCAGUGUGGCAAAAGCACUGGGCUAGCAGCAGUCAGAUGUGGGUUCAAAGCAAGGCACAAUCAUUUAUUAGCUAUAAAUUUGGGCAAGUCACUUCUUGAGAAUAAGUUUCUUCAUCUGUAAACAGAAGUAAUACCUUCCUUAUAUCUUAAAUUGGUGUGGAAGUAAAUGAGUAAAAACCUCAGGGUUUUUCUGAGUUUAAAUGAGACAAUUCAUGUAACGUGCUUAGCACAAUACCUGGUACCCAGUAGGUACUCUGCAGUAUUUAUUGAUGAUGAUGAUGAUGAUGAUGAUGAUGAUGAUGAUGACAAAGAAAUACAAGGAAAUGUCAACACCUUAACAGUGCAUUCAUAGAUCUACAAAAUGCUUAAUCUCAGUGUUCUGGCAACCACUAAAUACAUAAAGAUAAUCUAAGACAUCAAGAUUUCAACAUAUAAAAAUAAAUAUAAAAACAAGUGAACAAUAAUCAUUUAUAUGUAGUUUCAUGACUGGAAAAAAUAAUAACCUAGAUUUUUUCUUAACCUAGAAAAUCUAGAUUAAAAAAUAAAGAUCUUGCAUUUUUGAUAUAAAACACAAAUAAUAAGGACAUGAAAAAAGAAUAUCCCUUGCUAGUAAUCAAAUAAUAGCAAUGAGAAGCUGGAUUCUUAUAUCUAAAAUAAAAGUGCAAAUAGUUCAUAAUAUCCAUUGGUGGUAAGGUUGUGGUAAAACUAGUAUUCUUAUUCUCUGCCAGUUGCUUUGGAAAUUGGUACUAUCUUUUUAGGAAUAUGGCAAUAUGUAACAAAAGCCAUAAAAUAUUCUACUCCUGGGUCUUUCUCCUCGGGAAGUAACUCAACAGAAGCAAAAAGAGGUGUAUACAAAAACCAAAUAUAAAAACAAACAAAUCUUUCCUCCCUCUUUCCUCCCACUGCCAAAAAAUGAAAGCUGGGAAUAGCCUAAAUUUCCAACUUAGUUGAAUUGUUCAAUAUAUUAGAGUUCAUCAAUAUGAGAGAAUAUUAUGCAUCUAAUAAUUGUGACGACUAUGUAUAAACAUGGAAAAUAUUUAAGAUCUGAUGUUUAACUAGCAUAUACACUAUUAUUGUAGCUAUGAGAAAGAAAUACUGCAUAUUUAGAAAUUAAUAUACAAAAAUGAAAACAACUAUGUUUGGGGACAGUGAUUAUGUACUUUUAAAUUUUUUUUAAUCUUGUUAUCUUUAAACUUUUCUAAAAAUGAUGUGAUUACAAGCAAUGGCUCUUUGGGAUCACCUAAUAAAUACCUACUAAAUUCUAGACGGGACAACGAGCUCUGCCAUCCUGCAAUGGCUCCUGUGACCUAGUUCCAGGGCCAUUCUGAAUGGACAGAGGUCUUCACAAUGGAGGUGGAGAUGCAGGGAGCUCUAUGGCAUGAAAUGGUUAAUGAUUCUCUUUUGUAAUUGUGUUUUCUGUUUGCUGCCUUAGUUCUAAAAGGAGGCAAAACAACUGUGGUUUAUUCUACCUUUUCCAGGCAUAGUUCUUCUCCUACCUUUGUGAUCCCCAAAUUAAUAUCAAAUGUCUAAUUAGUUUUUUUCUCCAUUGGUGAUCCCCAAAUUAAUAUCAAAUGUCAGACAAAGUAAAUCAAAGUACAAAUAAAGGUAAAACUGCUCUUGCAAAGGGCUAAAAUAGCAAUGUUUACUAGAAGCAUUCAAGAGCCAGUUCAAUUUCCUAUUUCUCAUUAAGUGGUAAAAUAGUAAUGCCAAGACCACAUCCCAGAAUCUCCAGGGUAACAGAGGCCCAACGAAGGGCUGCAGAGAAACUUGAAAGUAAACUGGCUUAGUUCUUUACACACAGAAAUUGUUCUACAAAGAUCUCUUGCAAAGCAGUGUCACCAGUAGCAUCACUGCCACUAAGCCAAUGUCCCAGGAAUUGAGGAAAGGAAGACACCCUUAAAGAAAAAAAUGGAAAAAAGCCACAAGGACUGGUACCACAGUAAAUGUCUGCCUGGGUCUCCCUAAACUGUCUUAGGUGAGCUUACCCAGGAAUGUUUCUCCCCUACAUGUUUGCCUUCCUUUGUUUAAGCCUUUAUUCCUCCUAAAUGAAAAUAAAUACCCCCGACUGGGGAACGUGGAGUUUGGAGUGUGUGCAAGAGUGUGGAUUCAUUAAAACUUAACGAGCAGAGUACUUAAGUGAAUGAGUUUACUGGAACUUGUUGGGGGAAGUAGGUUUUGUUAGCUGGU
rnacentral:lncRNA from 1 species